GGCAAUCCAGAGAAAGAGCUUGUUCAGGAGGAGGCCACUCGGGAGAUAUAUUUCUUCUUGAUAUAUAUUGCAGGUAACGAAGCUGAGAAGGGAAUGGGUUCAAAGGUGACAACAAUUGCGAUAAACCUUUAGGUGCCUCACGAUAAACCAUCUCGAGAGUUUUUCUCUCUCCGCUUUGUAACUUUCUGAAAACCAAGAAAGUUACAAAGCGCCUCUGCUUCAUCUUCUUCUCCAAAUCACUAAACACUCACAUCACAGCUCCGAGCAAGUUGAUAUUUGACGGCGUUAUUUCCGACGAUAAUUCCGCCGUCGCCGGGAUGAUUUCCGAACGGAACAUACGCCGUACACGUAACAUGUAAGUGAUAAUGCCCAGUCGUAAUCGUUCCAACUCUCCAUUUCACACGGCCGUCAAUUUUGAAAUCGAGCCAAACGCCGCCGUUUUGCUGGUCUUCCUUCAGAUCUGGUCCAUUAUAAGGUGAAAUCGGAACAUUGUUACUGAAAACGAACGGCGACCAUAUGUUAACGUCUUUAUGACCUUGAUAAACUGAAGGAAUUUGGGUAUAAUAUGUAAUUUGUUGAUUGUGAUAGUUUGCGUAUGUUUUCAUCUUAUCGUAGUAAACCCCGACUUUAUCGUUAGGGUUCCGGGCAAAUAUAGUGACUUGAAUCGAUGUGGAGAAGAUAUUCGGAGCAGAGACGUUGAAAUUGAAGAUGGUGGCGUCUUGGAGAAUGAAUCUGGGUUUUUUCGGUUGUAGAAUUGCCCAGACUAGUAAGAUGGUUAACAGGACGACGAAGAGGAAAAUUAGGAUUCCGGCGAAGAGUCGUCGGACGCGUUUUCGUUUUUUGUCUUUGUGGUGAGUGCACUCCUUGACUGACAUGGUGGUGUUUACUCCGGUGGUAGCUCCGGUGAUCGGAAAAGUAGUGGUGGAGCUGAAGAUGUGGAUAGUGAUAGUACUAGUGUGGAAUAAAAGGGAAGUGAGUGG
rnacentral:misc_RNA from 1 species